rnacentral:tRNA from 15 species
GCCGGGAUAGCUCAGUUGGUAGAGCAGUGGACUGAAAAUCCACGUGUCACGAGUUCAAAUCUCGUUCCUGGCA